UACGUAGGGACCAAGCGUUGUUCGGAUUUACUGGGCGUAAAGGGCGCGUAGGCGGCGCGGUAAGUCACUUGUGAAAUCUCUGAGCUUAACUCAGAACGGCCAAGUGAUACUGCAGUGCUAGAGUGUGGAAGGGGCAAUCGGAAUUCUUGGUGUAGCGGUGAAAUGCGCAGAUAUCAGGAGGAACACCGGUGGCGAAGGCGGGUCUCUGGGCCGUAACUGACGCUGAGGAGCGAAAGCGUGGGGAGCGAACAGG
rnacentral:rRNA from 1 species